rnacentral:piRNA from 1 species
UGUUAAUGGAUGACUCAGCUUUU